rnacentral:misc_RNA from 1 species
UUUCUAAAAAAAAUAAAAAAAGAACUUUCAAAAGUAAAUCUAAUUGUAUUAUUUAGAUUCAAAGAAAUAUCUGAAUCCAAUGAAACAAAAAAAGAAAAAGAUUAUCUAAUUAGUAAUCAAAUAAUUAACGAAUCAUUUCGUCAAAUUGAAUCUGGAAAUUGGCCAAAUUCUUCACUGAUAGAAACAAAAAUGAAGGAUUUGACUAAUAGAACAAGUACAAUCAAAAAUAAAAUAGAAAGAAUUACAAAAGAGAAAAAGAAAGUAACUCCAGAAAUAGACAUUAAUCCUAAUAAAACAAAUAAUAUUAAAAAAUUCGAAUCGCCAAAAAAAAUUUUCCAAAUAUUAAAAAGCAGAAAUACUCGAGUAAUAUGGAAAUUCCAUUAUUUUCUAAAAUUAUUUAUUCAAAGAUUAUACAUCAAUUUAUUUUUAUCUAUCAUUAAUAUUCCUAGAAUUACUACACAACUCUUUCUUAAAUCAACAAACAAAUUGAUUG